CCUCUAAUUCUUAAAUGAGAAUAAAAAUAUAAUUCUAUUUUUCUCUCUCAAUUUUGAGCUCUCCUCCAGGGGGGUUAGUGUUGUAUUUAUAGCCCUCUAGGAAGCACCACAGCCCUCAAAUCAAAACCAACAUAAAUGUACGCUUCAGAUUACACCUCAAAGGCGAUGGAGGCAGGAUCCGCGAGGUGGAAGCUGAUUGGCUUCUGCCCCCGAGCGGUCGCCCGUGACAGGUGGGGCGCCCACCCCUACCCUAUGGCAGGUGGGCCCCACCUUUUAGAUGGUGUCUUCUCGAGUCUUAUAGAGUAUUUAGGAGUUGACGUUCGGGUCUUCUCUUUAUGUAAAUCUGACAUGUGGGCCUCCCUUUGUUAUACCCCCUGUAGAAACAGACAUUCACCAAAACUCAUGGUAAUUGUAAGUAAAAACCUUAAGUCUAUGGUGAUGUUUAGUUUUUAUCCCCUUUCUUCUCCUUGGUUGACAUAUAAUUUUUAUGGUUAAUAACCAUCAACAAACUCCCCCAAGCUUACCUUUUGCUCAUCCCUGAGCAAAUAGCUACAAAGGAUGGAUCAGGAGUUGCGACAAUGCUUUCAUGCUUUACAAUUACACUUGCUUUAAAUAAGAAUUCAUCCCUAGACUAGAGUGAACUAUCAUAACUUCAAACUUACUCAUGUUUCUUCCAACCAUGGGACUUUUACCUGUUCUUGGGUCUUGAGCAGUUGAAAGACAGUAUAGUUAAGUCAAGCAUUGUUGUCUCAUGCUUUGUUGUUCUACCUCUGUCCUGGAGUUUUUAUAAGAUUUUCAAAUAAAACUCAGAGUUCUUUAGUAUGACCCUUUCAAGUCUCUCAAUAUGUGGUAUUUUUGGAUCCUCUCUAAGGCAUUGAAAGGAGUGAUGCCUUCUCUGUUACUCUCAAGAUAUAUAGUAUUUGUGGCACAAGGCAUUUAUAUAGCCUUCACUCUCUCUCAUCCUAUAUCUAACAAAGCUUAUGUGGAGCUCAUAGGUGUGGAGAUAACUAAUGCAUUGGGUCUGAUCGAACCAUGGAUCCAAAUGAACUCACCACAUAACCAACCGGUUUGUGCAUGUGUGGUUUUAUAUGUGGAUGCUAAACUAGAGAAUAUUUGUGGAAGGAGAAGGGGUGCAAAAAUAAUUCUAAUGCUCCUUUACUUGAGAUGAUUUCUCUAACUUUGAACUUGAAAUUUUGAUAAUAAACUUGGGCUCAUAAAUCUUUCUUUUUCUUCUUUUUAUGGAUCUUUUGUCCAAUAAUUUUCUUGCAGCCCAACAGUUCUUUUUGUAACGAAAAUUUUGUAGAGGAAUAAAAGGUAAUACCUGGAGCCUUGAACUUGAGGUAAUUGGCUAGCAAAUGAGCAAGGGAAAUAUUUUUUAGUGUUCACUCUCAGUGUAGAGUGGAACAUUUUUGAAUAGGUGGAUAUGGGAUAUAUAUGUGGUGCGUACUUCCAGAGUAGAAGCAGCAAAGGGUGAACAUGAGUGUGCGUAAUACCGGGAUUAAUCACAUGAUGAGUUCCUAAGGGUCAACACACCUCGAGCAAAUACAAAGUCCUACAUAUAUGUGGAGGCUUCCUAUUCUAAAUAAAUAUGACUGUGGUAGGAAUUUUAUACUCUCUAUCAUAUAUAGAACUCAUCAAAAUAAAUCUUCAGAAUUUAGUAGCACUAGGAACAUAAUAAACAACAGCUCAGAGUAUAUCAUAUCAUGUCCAUCAAAUACCUAGACUUAGUUUAAGCAUAUGCUCCCACAGGUUUAAAGAUU
rnacentral:lncRNA from 1 species